rnacentral:tRNA from 1 species
UCCCUGGAGGACUAGUGGUUAGGCCAUAGCAGUCUCACUGCCAUGGCCCAGGUUCAAUUCCUGGCCAGGGGA